CAAAUUCUUCCUAUUCGGGAAGGAUGAGAAGCUUCGAACAAGGUUCGAUUCGAGCGUUAGCGAGAAAGCGUUGCCGCAGGCAACGACCCGAAGGGCGAAGCGCGCAGCGCUGAGUAAUCCUUCCCCCACCACCA
rnacentral:sRNA from 1 species